AGCGGCGGACGGGUGAGUAACGCGUGGGUAACCUGCCCUAUACACAUGGAUAACAUACUGAAAAGUUUACUAAUACAUGAUAAUAUAUAUUUGCGGCAUCGCAGAUAUAUCAAAGUGUUAGCGGUAUAGGAUGGACCCGCGUCUGAUUAGCUAGUUGGUGAGAUAACUGCCCACCAAGGCGACGAUCAGUAGCCGACCUGAGAGGGUGAUCGGCCACAUUGGAACUGAGACACGGUCCAAACUCCUACGGGAGGCAGCAGUGGGGAAUAUUGCACAAUGGGCGAAAGCCUGAUGCAGCAACGCCGCGUGAACGAUGAAGGUCUUCGGAUCGUAAAGUUCUGUUGCAGGGGAAGAUAAUGACGGUACCCUGUGAGGAAGCCCCGGCUAACUACGUGCCAGCAGCCGCGGUAAUACGUAGGGGGCUAGCGUUAUCCGGAUUUACUGGGCGUAAAGGGUGCGUAGGUGGUCCUUCAAGUCGGUGGUUAAAGGCUACGGCUCAACCGUAGUAAGCCGCCGAAACUGGAGGACUUGAGUGCAGGAGAGGAAAGUGGAAUUCCCAGUGUAGCGGUGAAAUGCGUAGAUAUUGGGAGGAACACCAGUAGCGAAGGCGGCUUUCUGGACUGCAA
rnacentral:rRNA from 1 species